GACGAACGCUGGCGGCGUGCUUAACACAUGCAAGUCGAGCGGAAAGGCCUUUCGGGGUACUCGAGCGGCGAACGGGUGAGUAACACGUGAGUAACCUGCCUCUGGUUUGGGGAUAAGCCUUAGAAAUGGGGUCUAAUACCCGAUAUACACUGCUUCUCGCAUGGGUGGUGGUGGAAAGAAUUUUGACUAGAGAUGGGCUCGCGGACUAUCAGCUUGUUGGUGGGGUGAUGGCCUACCAAGGCUUUGACGGUUAGCCGGCCUGAGAGGGUGUCCGGCCACACUGGGACUGAGACACGGCCCAGACUCCUACGGGAGGCAGCAGUGGGGAAUAUUGCGCAAUGGGCGGAAGCCUGACGCAGCGACGCCGCGUGAGGGAUGACGGCCUUCGGGUUGUAAACCUCUUUCGGCAGGGACGAAGCGAAAGUGACGGUACCUGCAGAAGAAGCACCGGCCAACUACGUGCCAGCAGCCGCGGUAAUACGUAGGGUGCAAGCGUUGUCCGGAUUUAUUGGGCGUAAAGAGCUCGUAGGCGGCGUGUCGCGUCGAAAGUGAAAACCCAUAGGCUUAACCUGUGGCUUGCUUUCGGUACGGGCAUGCUUGAGUGCGGUAGGGAGAGACUGGAAUUCCUGGUGUAGCGGUGAAAUGCGCAGAUAUCAGGAGGAACACCGGUGGCGAAGGCGGGUCUCUGGGCCGUUACUGACGCUGAGGAGCGAAAGCGUGGGGAGCGAACAGGAUUAGAUACCCUGGUAGUCCACGCUGUAAACGUUGGGCGCUAGGUGUGGGGACUGGUUCACGGCUCCUGUGCCGUAGCUAACGCAUUAAGCGCCCCGCCUGGGGAGUACGGCCGCAAGGCUAAAACUCAAAGGAAUUGACGGGGGCCCGCACAAGCGGCGGAGCAUGCGGCUUAAUUCGAUGCAACGCGAAGAACCUUACCUGGGCUUGACAUCGCCGGAAAACCUCUAGAGAUAGGGGGUCCUUCGGGGCCGGUGACAGGUGGUGCAUGGUUGUCGUCAGCUCGUGUCGUGAGAUGUUGGGUUAAGUCCCGCAACGAGCGCAACCCUUAUUCCAUGUUGCCAGCGCGUAAUGGCGGGGACUCAUGGGAGACUGCCGGGGUCAACUCGGAGGAAGGUGGGGAUGACGUCAAAUCAUCAUGCCCCUUAUGUCCAGGGCUGCACGCAUGCUACAAUGGACGGUACAAAGAGUUGCGAUACGGUAACGUGGAGCGAAUCUCAAAAAGCCGUUCUCAGUUCGGAUUGGGGUCUGCAACUCGACCCCAUGAAGUUGGAGUCGCUAGUAAUCGCAGAUCAGCAACGCUGCGGUGAAUACGUUCCCGGGCCUUGUACACACCGC
rnacentral:rRNA from 1 species